UCGGGAAUUUUGUGCAAUGGGCGAAAGCCUGACACAGCAACGCCGCGUGAAGGAUGAAGUCCCUCGGGAUGUAAACUUCGUAAGAAUAGGAAGAAUAAAUGACGGUACUAUUUGUAAGGUCCGGCUAACUACGUGCCAGCAGCCGCGGUAAUACGUAGGGACCAAGCGUUGUUCGGAUUUACUGGGCGUAAAGGGUGCGUAGGCGGCAUAUCAAGUCACUUGUGAAAUCUCCGGGCUUAACUCGGAACUGCCAAGUGAUACUGAUGUGCUAGAGUGCAGAAAGGGCAACUGGAAUUCUUGGUGUAGCGGUGAAAUGCGUAGAUAUCAAGAGGAACACCUGAGGUGAAGACGGGUUGCUGGGCUGACACUGACGCUGAGGCGCGAAAGCCAGGGGAGCAAACGGGAUUAGAUACCCCUGUAGUCCCUGAGCGGGCUGGCAAGGCGCAU
rnacentral:rRNA from 1 species